GCGCUGGAUACAUUUGAAGGCUCUGUACUGUGAGCGAGUUAUUCUUCAAGACAACACCUAAGAAACAUGGAACAUUUACUCAAUGACAACCUUCUGAAAUACUUUACUCAAUAUGCUUUAAUGGAGGGUAGCACUACUGCACUGUCCAUUGGUGGGCUGAAAAAUCUGCUCCAGAAUCAAUUUUCACAGUACUUGAA